rnacentral:rRNA from 1 species
ACUGUGAUCUCUGUGGAUUUAGCUGGUGAGAAUGGCUUGAGCUUGGUCAAAUUGGUUGAGACCGGGAAUCUGCGUAGCAGCAGGUCCUUGCCUUUUGGUGAGGAUGCGCGAGGCACUCAUCAAGUGUUGCGCGUUCCAUGUAUUUCGUGCCAGCUUGCCAGUGCACUUUCGCAGAGUGGUCACCACGACCGGCAUCGCUGUCUGACUGUUGUGGUUAAACCGGCCAUUCAUUGUCCUUGUGGCUUUGGGUGGUCGGGAUGGCAGGUAGCUCGUUGGCUGGGCUUGUGGCUUGCUGCAGGCUCCGGUUCUCGGGUGUAAUCAGCUGACCGCAUCGGUGCUGUGCAGUAUGUCGGAGACGGCGGCUUGUGGUGUGUGCGUGCGUGCCAGUUGGCUGGCGUGUCCGGGUUUGGUUGUUAUGUAGCCUGUGUUGGCAGGCCUAAUGAUAGCUCGGAUUCGUUCAGUCAGCGGUUGCGUGCGUGUCACUUUCCAGGGCCAAUAGUCUGUGGUGUUGCGGUAGACGAUCCACCUGACCCGUCUUGAAACACGGACCAAGGAGAGUAACAUGUGCGCGAGUCAUUGGGCGUAACGAAACCCAAAGGCGAAGUGAAAGUGAAGGUCCGGCUUGUCUGGACUGAGGUGAGAUCCUGUCGUUUCUCACGCGCGGUAUCACCAAGCAUAGAGCGACAGGCGCAUCACCGGCCCGUCCCAUGGUGUAGUGACACUCUUCGGAGAGUUCGUCACCGGGGCGGAGCAUGAGCGUACAUGUUGAGACCCGAAAGAUGGUGAACUAUGCUUGCGCAGGUUGAAGCCAGAGGAAACUCUGGUGGAGGACCGUAGCGAUUCUGACGUGCAAAUCGAUCGUCAGACGUGAGUAUAGGGGC